UACGUAGGGUGCGAGCGUUAAUCGGAAUUACUGGGCGUAAAGCGUGCGCAGGCGGUUUUGUAAGCCAGAUGUGAAAUCCCCGGGCUUAACCUGGGAAUGGCAUUUGGGACUGCAAGGCUUGAAUUUGGCAGAGGAGACUGGAAUUCCUGGUGUAGCAGUGAAAUGCGUAGAUAUCAGGAGGAAUACCGAUGGCGAAGGCAGGUCUCUGGGCUAGAACUGACGCUCAUGCACGAAAGCGUGGGGAGCAAACAGG
rnacentral:rRNA from 1 species